GCCUUCGUGGUGUAGUGGUUAGCACGCUCGACGCGUAACCGAGAGGUCCGUGGUUCGAUUCCCUGCGAAGGCG
rnacentral:tRNA from 1 species